rnacentral:rRNA from 1 species
CUCUACGGCCAUGCCACCCUGAACAUGCCCAAUCUUGUCAGAUCUCAGAAGCUAAGCAGGGUCGGGCCUGGUUAGUACUUGGGUGGUAGACCACCUAGGAAUUCCAGGUGCUGUAGGCA